rnacentral:tRNA from 1 species
CGGGGUGUAGCUCAGAUGGCUUAGAGUGCGCGCUUUGGGAGCGUGAGGUCGUGGGUUCAAGUCCCACCACCCCGA